rnacentral:rRNA from 1 species
CGUGUAGGCGGUGGGACAAGUCAGAUGUGAAAGCCCCCGGCUUAACCGGGGAAUUGCAUUUGAAACUGUUUUGCUUGAGUGCGAGAGGGGGUAGUGGAAUUCCCAGUGUAGCGGUGAAAUGCGUAGAUAUUGGGAAGAACACCAGUAGCGAAGGCGGCUACCUGGCUCGCAACUGACGCUAAGGCGCGAAAGCGUGGGGAGCAAACA